rnacentral:rRNA from 1 species
UACGGAAGGCAGCAGUGGGGAAUAUUGCACAAUGGGCGCAAGCCUGAUGCAGCCAUGCCGCGUGUAUGAAGAAGGCCUUCGGGUUGUAAAGUACUUUCAGUCGUGAGGAAGGUGUUAAGGUUAAUAACCUUAGCAAUUGACGUUAGCGACAGAAGAAGCACCGGCUAACUCCGUGCCAGCAGCCGCGGUAAUACGGAGGGUGCGAGCGUUAAUCGGAAUUACUGGGCGUAAAGGGCACGCAGGCGGUUAAUUAAGUUGGAUGUGAAAUCCCCGGGCUUAACCUGGGAAUGGCAUUCAAGACUGGUUAGCUAGAGUCUUGUAGAGGGGGUAGAAUUCCAUGUGUAGCGGUGAAAUGCGUAGAGAUGUGGAGGAAUACCGGUGGCGAAGGCGGCCCCUUGGACAAAGGCUGACGCUCAUGUGCGAAAGCGUGGGGAGCAAACAGGGAUUAGAUACC